UACGGGGGGGGGCAAGCGUUGUUCGGAUUUACUGGGCGUAAAGGGCGCGUAGGCGGUCAGCACAAGUCAGUUGUGAAAUCUCCGGGCUUAACUCGGAAAGGUCAACUGAUACUGUGCGACUAGAGUGCAGAAGGGGCAACUGGAAUUCUCGGUGUAGCGGUGAAAUGCGUAGAUAUCGAGAGGAACACCUGCGGCGAAGGCGGGUUGCUGGGCUGACACUGACGCUGAUGCGCGAAAGCCAGGGGAGCGAACGGG
rnacentral:rRNA from 1 species